AAAAAUAACUGUCCAUAAGGAGUGAGGCUCACUCCUUAUGGACAGUUAUUU
rnacentral:miRNA from 1 species